GAAGCAGAGGUUAUGGUGAGGGGGGAAAAGGCUUAGGAGGGAACCGUGGAUAAGAGAUGAAAAGUGAGGAGAGGAGAAUGGUAAGUGGGGAAGAAGAGCAGAGGAGUGAGAGAGGAGAAGAACAGGUAAAUGGAAAUAGAAUGUGAGGUGAUAUAAGAUGGUGCUUCAGUUGCUGCGUCUUUAAAGAAUCAAGGCUAUUGAAGAAGAUGAAAAAACAGAUGGAGGGAAAACAGAAAGAAAAUUACAUCAAGAGACAUAUUCAAGUAUCGGCAUCAGGUGGGAUGCACUGGAUCAUUUGUUACUGUUCCUCUAUCUUCACCUACUCAACAACAAUCGUGCCAUUAUUGCUGCGAGGAGGAAGCAAAGAGUUUCAAAGAACAUCUGCUUCAACUGUAAUUGGAUUGUUUUACCAAUAGUUGCAUUCCCUUGUGUGCUAAUUGGAAUUCCAGC
ensembl:lncRNA